rnacentral:rRNA from 1 species
AAAACUUUCAACAACGGAUCUCUUGGUUCUGGCAUCGAUGAAGAACGCAGCGAAAUGCGAUAAGUAAUGUGAAUUGCAGAAUUCAGUGAAUCAUCGAAUUUUUGAACGCACAUUGCGCCCCUUGGUAUUCCGAGGGGCAUGCCUGUUCGAGCGUCAUUG